CCCUUCCCUCCGUGUAAAAGUGUUCUUCCCUUGCUGGGCAGGGGCUUGCAAGCGGCUCCCCGUGGCUGCAGGCGCUGUGUUGCAAUUCUCUGCCGAGACCGAAUAAACCCAUCUUUGCUGCAGAAAUAUCUGGGAGUCUGUUUGUUUCAGGUCAACAAGAGGUGAAGGAGCAGCACUUCAUAAGAACAGAAAUAGCAGGCUACAGGUGACAAGCCCUCACUCAGGCUCAGGUGCUGGGCAGGACCCUGAGGCUCAGAGAAGUUAACUUGUUCAAGGGGACACAGGUAUGAAGUAGCGAAGCCUGAAUCUACACCCAACUCAACUCCAAAGCCUGCAUUCCUAACCACUGCAUCCUUUUGGAAAAUGCCAAGUUCAUACUCCAGGUAUUUACCCUGUGACUGUAUGUACACUAAAGCCAGCACAAUGGAUUGUUUUCAGACAAGAUGUUUUCUGCUAAACUCCCAGAGGAAAAAAAAACAAAAACAAAAAAAACCCUUCAACUGUAGUUGCUUGAGGUCCUAGGAGACAGCGUCCUCUAGAGAGCAAUGUCUAUACAAUCACUUUGGCAAGAAUAACAACAAAAUCUCCAGACAGGUUUCCCAGUCUGCAAACUAGCAAUGACUAGGGCACUAAAUGCCUGGGCCCUACUCCAGACAAAUUCACUCCCAAUCUCCUCAAGUAGGACCGAGGCAUCUGUAGUUGUUAAAGGUACUGGGUGGGUUAAGAACGAGCCCUCUGGGACUUGAACCACAGCUGGUACAGAGUCAAAUUUUCUUCACUGGCUGAGUGCCCAGGGUCCAAAGCCAUCUCAAAAAUGCAGGUGGUACCCAUGUAAACUUUAAUGUAUGUUCUUUAUCUAGAGGUAGAGAAUCCCAAGGCAAUAACUAGAAAUGUUAUCAGAGUUCUGUAAAACCCCAGUCCUUCCUUGGUGUCUACUGGGGAAGGCACCAGACAUGAUCUUCAGCCAAGCAGACUGCCUACUGGGUCAGGGCAGC